rnacentral:rRNA from 1 species
GCGGAGAUGAGGUGCUUGCACCUUAUCUUAGCGGCGGACGGGUGAGUAAUGCUUAGGAAUCUGCCUAUUAGUGGGGGACAACAUUCCGAAAGGAAUGCUAAUACCGCAUACGUCCUACGGAAGAAAGCAGGGGAUCUUCGGACCUUGCGCUAGUAGAUGAACCUAAGUCGGAUUAGCUAGUUGGUGGGGUAAAGGCCUACCAAGGCGACGAUCUGUAGCGGGUCUGAGAGGAUGAUCCGCCACACUGGGACUGAGACACGGCCCAGACUCCUACGGGAGGCAGCAGUGGGGAAUAUUGGACAAUGGGGGGAACCCUGAUCCAGCCAUGCCGCGUGUGUGAAGAAGGCCUUAUGGUUGUAAAGCACUUUAAGCGAGGAGGAGGCUACUGAGACUAAUACUCUUGGAUAGUGGACGUUAC